CCUACGGGGGGCAGCAGUGGGGAAUCUUCCGCAAUGGACGAAAGUCUGACGGAGCAACGCCGCGUGAGUGAUGACGGCCUUCGGGUUGUAAAGCUCUGUUAAUCGGGACGAAAGGCCUUCUUGCGAAUAGUUAGAAGGAUUGACGGUACCGGAAUAGAAAGCCACGGCUAACUACGUGCCAGCAGCCGCGGUAAUACGUAGGUGGCAAGCGUUGUCCGGAAUUAUUGGGCGUAAAGCGCGCGCAGGCGGAUCAGUCAGUCUGUCUUAAAAGUUCGGGGCUUAACCCCGUGAGGGGAUGGAAACUGCUGAUCUAGAGUAUCGGAGAGGAAAGUGGAAUUCCUAGUGUAGCGGUGAAAUGCGUAGAUAUUAGGAAGAACACCAGUGGCGAAGGCGACUUUCUGGACGAAAACUGACGCUGAGGCGCGAAAGCCAGGGGAGCGAACGGGAUUAGAUACCCGGGUAGUC
rnacentral:rRNA from 1 species